rnacentral:misc_RNA from 1 species
GAUGAAGAACGCAGCGAAAUGCGAUAAGUAAUGUGAAUUGCAGAAUUCAGUGAAUCAUCGAAUCUUUGAACGCACAUUGCGCCCCCUGGUAUUCCGGGGGGCAUGCCUGUCCGAGCGUCAUUACAACCCUCAAGCUCAGCUUGGUGUUGGGCCCCGCCGCCCCGGCGGGCCCUAAAGUCAGUUGCGGUGCCGUCCGGCUCCGAGCGUAGUAAUUCUUCUCGCUCUGGAGGUCCGGUCGUGUGCUCGCCAGCAACCCCCAAUUUUUUUCAGGUUGACCUCGGAUCAGGUAGGGAUACCCGCUGAACUUAAGCAUAUCAAUAAGCGGAGGA